GUCGAAUGUUCAAGCCGCUGUACCUACCUAAAUCGAGAUGCGUAACCCGAGAGGAAAUCAUUUUGAUGCGACGCCCCCUCGAACACAUGGCUUUAUCCACUCGUGACGGAAAAAAGAACGGUCGUAUUUAGGGCUGAUUUUACAUUUGUUCCGCGUAUUUCGUGUCUUACGUCGGAGGACGGAGGUUCUCAAAGUGUGACGUGUGCGUUCACGAAGAAAGAAAGCGGACAAAAUUCGGAAGAACGAUUGCUUCACGGCUUGCGUACAGGUCGUUCGAAUCCAUCAGGCGAACUCACAUGGUCACGUAACGUGCAUCGUGAUUGGAAAAGCGAAAGGUGGGAUUUAGGAUUCGUGUUAAAAGUGCAGUGUGGCGAACACAAAUCCGGCAAACAUUUUCUACAACUAUUUUCUCUGCGUUAGACCAAGUCGUUGUUUGUGUGCAUAGACAGCUUUGUGUUCGGCAUACAUCCGACGAUAAAAUCGAGUUCUACAUAAUCCGCCGUUCAAAGAGCUUUUCAAUAACUAAAUUUCUACACAAACGUCAGACGCAAGAAUGGGCAGGUAAAUAUUUACGCCAUUCUCUCGAAUAAAGUCGUAAGAUGCAAAAAUAAAAAAUUAAUACACGAGGGACCGGUAAUCCACGUCACAGAAAGUACGUAUACUAUUUACGCGAUUAAACUGUCAUUCCACGAUGAUAUUACAAUCGACUGUAAAUUUAAUAUGACGAAUACGUCGUUAAGGAUAUCUCGUUACAACGACUAAUCGUACCUUGAACAAGAAUAAAAUUAGUUUUCGAGUUUAAAAUCAAUUCUGUUAAUCGUUUAACGAAUGAUUAUCGCGUUUACUUAAUGAGUUGUUAAUUACGAAUAACUCGUUACUUUUCCAUAAGUAACAUCGUACUUAAUCAAAU
rnacentral:misc_RNA from 1 species